AAGACAAGUUUUCCAUUUCAUGAAACCCCCCCAUUUCCUUCUCCCGAUUCACUUUCGUUUCAACUUUCCUCAAAUUCCUCUUGCUCUCUCUCUACUCUCUUCUCAUCUCAAAUCCUCGAUUCUUGGUGCCAUAUUGAAACCCUAGCCCCUCUCAUCUACAAUUCUCAGCUCCUCCAUCCUGUCCAAGCUCCAUUGCAUACUUGCAGUCACUCGCAACCCUCCUCUCCAUCCCGUCGCAUUUGUGAGUCUACUUCAGUCAUUCACUCUCCAUUUCUAUUAAUGUUUAGAAGUUUAUAUAGGAAAAAUAGAAAAGAAAGUGAGGAUUAAUUAAGAUGGAAUGGAGUUUGUACAAUAUAAAUAAUUCUAAUUCAGGGGGUGUUUUUUUAUUAUGGAACCUUUGUGAAGAAUUGAUUUGUGUAUGGAGUUUAUAGUGGCUUUUAUUUUAAAUAUUUCUUCAAGAGGUCUUGGUUCAUCAGCAAAAUCUUGAGUUAAUUUAUUGACUUUGUUGAUUCUAAAAUGCUUAGAAAUAUUGAUUUGUAAAAUCUUCAAAUUGCUUACCAUUCGGUUAUAUUUGGUUAAAAUAGCUAUUUUUUUGUUAUUUAGUCCAAGUUUUGAGAUUUAAUCAAUCCCAAACAAUGCCGAUAUCAAAAGUUAUCAGCAAACAAAGAAAAGAGAAAGAUGUUUAUAUUACACAAAAACGUUGAAAGCUUUACAAUCCUAUAGGACUUACAACCUAAAACUUAGAGAGAGAAGUUCCAACUUCUCUCUAAAACACCCAAAGUGCAAACCGCUCAAGGGAGGGGGAUGAAAAGUAGAUUUGUAGCUCUUCGGUGCCCAACAGCCAACAUGGGCCACACCACUAGAUUCCCAAGGUGCCGAUCUAUAAGACAGGCGAAGUAGUUCAUUAAAAGGGGCGACGCGUGAGUCACACGAGUAAGUUGAAGUUGGUGCGUGGAUCCCACGCACCUCCGUCUAGGGAGAUUUUCUGCUGCCACGCGUGGCUGUUUUGGGGCCAGGGUCACCGACCAUUUCAAAUUUGCUUAUCGACAUAGUCCCAAGAUGGAGUAUUCUACAUAUGAUAUGCAAGAGUCAACACAAAGUCAACAUAUGCCUCCACCCCCAUCCAAUAACUUGUUGGAGAAAUUACUGAUUUUGUGGAGGGAUCAAAUUCAAUGCCUAUCGGCCCUAUACCCAAUGCUGAUUAAAGACUAAAAAUAGUAUUGUGAAAAAUAAAAAGUAUGCCAAGCCAAAAGAUGUAGGAGCUGCCGGGGCCUAAGACGAUAAUUGUAUAAUUUAUAUUGAUGUAAUUUUAUAAAUACUUUAUGCUACUGUUAAUAGUUUUUUUUUUUUUGAUAAGUAAUUUAUGUAUCGUUAUAGUGUUUUUUUAUCUAAAUUACUAAAUAUGACUUCUACUC